rnacentral:rRNA from 1 species
UGUGUAGGUGGCGCCGUAAGUCGGGUGUGAAAUUUCGGAGCUUAACUCCGAAACUGCAUUCGAUACUGCGGUGCUUGAGGACUGGAGAGGAGACUGGAAUUCAUGGUGUAGCAGUGAAAUGCGUAGAGAUCAUGAGGAAGACCAGUGGCGAAGGCGGGUCUCUGGACAGUUCCUGACACUGAGACACAGGCCAGGGAGCAAACG